CCUACGGGGAGCAGCAGUCGAGAAUCAUUCACAAUGGGGGAAACCCUGAUGGUGCGACGCCGCGUGGGGGAAUGAAGGUCUUCGGAUUGUAAACCCCUGUCAUGUGGGAGCAAAUUAAAAAGAUAGUACCACAAGAGGAAGAGACGGCUAACUCUGUGCCAGUAGCCGCGGUAAUACAGAGGUCUCAAGCGUUGUUCGGAAUCACUGGGCGUAAAGCGUGCGUAGGCUGUUUCGUAAGUCGUGUGUGAAAGGCGCGGGCUCAACCCGCGGACGGCACAUGAUACUGCGAGACUAGAGUAAGGGAGGAGGAACCGGAAUGCUCGGUGUAGCAGUGAAAUGCGUAGAUAUCGAGAGGAACACUCGUGGCGAAGGCGGGUUCCUGGACAUUAACUGACGCUGAGGCACGAAGGCCAGGGGAGCGAAAGGGAUUAGAUACCCGGGUAGUC
rnacentral:rRNA from 1 species